rnacentral:rRNA from 1 species
AGUGAACGCUGGCGGUAGGCCUAACACAUGCAGGUCGAACGGCAGCACAGUAAGAGCUUGCUCUUACGGGUGGCGAGUGGCGGACGGGUGAGGAAUACAUCGGAAUCUACUUUUUCGUGGGGGAUAACGUAGGGAAACUUACGCUAAUACCGCAUACGACCUACGGGUGAAAGCAGGGGAUCUUCGGACCUUGCGCGAUUGAAUGAGCCGAUGUCGGAUUAGCUAGUUGGCGGGGUAAAGGCCCACCAAGGCGACGAUCCGUAGCUGGUCUGAGAGGAUGAUCAGCCACACUGGAACUGAGACACGGUCCAGACUCCUACGGGAGGCAGCAGUGGGGAAUAUUGGACAAUGGGCGCAAGCCUGAUCCAGCCAUACCGCGUGGGUGAAGAAGGCCUUCGGGUUGUAAAGCCCUUUUGUCGGGAAAGAAAAGCAGCAGGUUAAUACCCCGCUGUUCUGACGGUACCCAAAGAAUAAGCACCGGCUAACUUCGUG